GACGAACGCUGGCGGCGUGCCUAAUACAUGCAAGUCGAGCGGACAGAAGGGAGCUUGCUCCCGGAUGUUAGCGGCGGACGGGUGAGUAACACGUGGGUAACCUGCCUGUAAGACUGGGAUAACUCCGGGAAACCGGAGCUAAUACCGGAUAGUUCCUUGAACCGCAUGGUUCAAGGAUGAAAGACGGUUUCGGCUGUCACUUACAGAUGGACCCGCGGCGCAUUAGCUAGUUGGUGGGGUAAUGGCUCACCAAGGCGACGAUGCGUAGCCGACCUGAGAGGGUGAUCGGCCACACUGGGACUGAGACACGGCCCAGACUCCUACGGGAGGCAGCAGUAGGGAAUCUUCCGCAAUGGACGAAAGUCUGACGGAGCAACGCCGCGUGAGUGAUGAAGGUUUU
rnacentral:rRNA from 1 species